rnacentral:snRNA from 1 species
AAAGUAUUAUGGAUGGUGGAAAACUAAGCUAGUGACCUCCAUUGCACUUUGGAGGGGCUCUCCGCCUAAGGUCGGCCCUACGUCAUAAUUUGUGGCUGCGGGGGCCUGCGUUCACGCGUCCCUACC